UCGAUUGGGUGAUCUCUCUCCCUCGACUCGUCUCCAUCGAAGCGGCGGUCGCAACCUCUGUUCUCUCCGGUAAGCGUUGUUAAUAACCCCCCUCUCUACAGCUCUAUCUCGCAUGGCAGCCCCUGAAUUGUUCAUCUUCUUUUGCCUCAAUUUUGGUUUAUCUAUUAUUAGUAGUGUUAUCCUUUUCGAUCUUUGAUUCUUCCACAAUUUUAUUGUAUUUUUUUUUCUUUUCUUGUUAAGAAAUAUAAAAGUUGUUGUUGGUUGUGGUUUAUGGGUUUUUCUUCUUUGAUUCAGGUUCUCUAUUUUUUUUCUGUUUUGAUUCUUCCCCGAAGCCGUCCGCCUCUUGCACUUUCUGGUGAGAUUCCGACUAGCCCGAGCCUCUAGUUUGAAGAAGGGCACGGGGAAGAGGUGUGGGUCUGGGCUCGUGGUCUUCCUCGUCUCAGAUGCGGGCUCAAUGGCGAGGAUGGGGAUCUACGUACGUUGUGGGGGCUUUGGGGAACAGCUGGGUUUGAUCUCUCUCUCCCACUUACACUCACGGUAACUCACCUCUCUCCCAUGGUAUCUCUCUGUGUUGUUAUAUGUAAAUAUGAUAUAUAUAUAUGUAUAUAUUGCUGCUGAAAGUAAUAUAGUUGAUAGCAUAAAAAUUAGAGUUCUUGCUAUUACAGGGUCUCUGCAUCAUAUCGACAAAGACCUUCUCGGGUGGUGGUUGUGUGAGCGGCAAGUCAAAUCUGGAGGUCUUAAUGGGCGCCCAGAGACACUUCCAGAUGUCUGCUAUUCAUGGUGGGUCCUUUCUAGCCUGAUCAUGAUUGACAGAGUACAUUGGAUUAACAAGGAAAAACUUGUGAAGUUCAUCUUAGACUGCCAGGAUGUAGAAAAUGGAGGAAUUUCAGAUAACCAGAUGAUGCAGUUGAUGUCUACCACACAUACUUUGGUGUAGCUGGACUUUCACUUCUUGAAUAUCCAGGAUUGAAAGCCAUAGAUCCAGCCUAUGCUUUGCCGGUUGAUGUUGUAAAUAGAAUUUUCUUAGGCAAAUAAUGAUCCUGAAGAACAACUUAUGAUUCUAAUUAUAACUGAACUCAUUGUUUUCUCUUUUAUAGGAAAUAAAGAAAAUAAUAUAUCUUUAUAUUGAAGUAGAAAUAUAUUGUUAAAGGGAUAAUGCUUUGGACAUUGUUUUGAAUCAAAUGCAGUCUCGUGAUCGUGGUCAUUUGAAUAUGCCAGCUGAUGAAAGAGAAAAGAGACACCAGCAUAAUUUCAUGCAUGUAACAACUCAUACAUCUCAAGAAUGGGCUGCAACCUUUGUUAGUGAACUUAAUGAUACUAUUGUGGAAGCUCAACUGAGGACUAGGCAAGUUCCACCUCUACUUCCUAUAAAAGAAGCCGUUGAUCACUAUUUGGAAUCCAAUAAUAGAUGAUUCUUAGUUUAUUUACAUUAAUUUACUAAGGAAUGGAA